ACCGCACGCAAACCCAAAGGUCAUUAACCCGACACGUGCGAUGACCUACGCUACACGUGCGCAAAGAAACGAGAACCUUGUCGCCUUUUAUCGGCUCCGUGUGCCAAUAGAAGUGAAUUCAAGGUCCGACAUUC